rnacentral:rRNA from 1 species
UUCCGGUUGAUCCCGCCGGAGGCUACCGCUAUUGGAGUUCGAUUAAGCCAUGCGAGUCGCGAGUCUUAGGGACUCGGCGUACCGCUCAGUAACACGUGGGUAACCUGCCCUAUGCUGGGGGACAACCUCGGGAAACUGAGAAUAAUACCCCAUAGUUCACCACGCCUGGAACGGUGGGUGGACCAAAGCUCCGGCGGCAUAGGAUGGGCCUGCGGCGUAUCAGGUUGUAGGGGGUGUAAUGUACCCUCUAGCCCUCUACGCGUACGGGUGUUGAGAGACAUCGCCCGGAGAUGGAUUCUGAGACACGAAUCCAGACCCUACGGGGUGCAGCAGGCGCGAAAACUUGGCAAUGCGAGAAAUCGUGACCAGGGAACUCCAAGUGCAUCGGGUAAGACCGAUGCUUUUCUUGACUCUUCAAAGGUCUUGGAAUAAGGGGUGGGUAAGGACGGUGCCAGCCGCCGCGGUAAUACCGGCGCCCCAAGUGGUAGUCGCUUUUAUUGGGCCUAAAACGUCCGUAGCCGGUCUGGUACAUUCGUGGGUAAAUCAACCAGCUCAACUGGUUGAAUUCUGCGAGCACGGCCAGACUUGGGACCGGGAGAGGUGUGGGGUACUCUCAGGGUAGGGGUAAAAUCCUGUCAUCCUGAGGGGACCACCUGUUGCGAAGGCGCCACACUAGAACGGAUCCGACGGUCAGGGACGAAGCCUAGGGGCACGAACCGGAUUAGAUACCCGGGUAGUCCUAGGUGUAAACGCUGUGGACUUGAUGUUGGGGGCGCUCCGAGCGCACUCAGUGUCGAAGCGAAGGUGAUAAGUCCACUGCCUGGGGAGUACGGUCGCAAGGCUGAAACUUAAAGGAAUUGGCGGGGGAGCACCGCAACCUGAGGAUUGUGCGGUUUAAUUGGAAUCAACGCCGGA